GCUCAGUUGCGCGGCUCGGCUCGGCUCGGCUCGGCUGCGCGGCCGCGGACGGGCGUGCGCUGGGGGCGCGGGGUACCGGGCGCGGGGCGCGGGCCUCGGCGGCGGCGGCGGCGGCGGCGGCGGCGGCGGCGGAAGCCAGGUGCCCCCGCCCGCCCUGUCCUCUCGACCAGGCGGAGGCGUCGCCGCGGGCCGGGCCUUGGGCUGCCGCGUCGGAGCGGGCGCGGGGGGCGGCGGCGCGGGCGGCGCGGAGCGGCGGGGCCCGCAGGGGCGCCCCGGCCCGGUCGGCGCGGACGGCGCUCGGCGAACGCGGGCGGACGCGGGGCGGCCCCUCCCUGCCCGCGCGCCCGGGCGCCCCUGGCCGGCGCCGGGCCCGGGAGCGAUGACAUCGACGGGGAAGGACGGCGGCGCGCAGCACGCGCAGUAUGUGGGGCCCUACCGGCUGGAGAAGACGCUGGGCAAGGGGCAGACAGGCCUGGUGAAGCUGGGGGUUCACUGUGUCACCUGCCAGAAGGUGGCCAUCAAGAUUGUCAACCGUGAGAAGCUCAGCGAGUCUGUGCUGAUGAAGGUGGAGCGAGAGAUCGCGAUCCUGAAGCUCAUCGAGCACCCCCACGUCCUCAAGCUGCACGACGUUUAUGAAAACAAAAAAUAUUUAUACUUGGUGCUAGAACAUGUGUCGGGUGGGGAGCUCUUCGACUACCUGGUGAAGAAGGGGAGGCUUACCCCCAAGGAGGCCCGGAAGUUCUUCCGGCAGAUCAUCUCAGCGCUGGACUUCUGCCACAGCCACUCCAUAUGCCACAGGGAUCUGAAACCCGAAAACCUCCUGCUGGACGAGAAGAACAACAUCCGGAUCGCAGACUUCGGCAUGGCGUCCCUGCAGGUUGGCGACAGCCUGUUGGAGACCAGCUGCGGGUCCCCCCACUACGCCUGCCCCGAGGUGAUCCGGGGGGAGAAGUACGACGGCCGGAAGGCGGACGUGUGGAGCUGCGGCGUCAUCCUCUUUGCCUUGCUGGUGGGGGCCCUGCCCUUUGACGAUGACAACCUGCGGCAGCUGCUGGAGAAGGUGAAGCGGGGUGUGUUCCACAUGCCGCACUUCAUCCCGCCCGACUGCCAGAGCCUGCUGCGGGGCAUGAUCGAGGUGGAUGCCGCCCGCCGCCUCACGCUAGAGCACAUUCAGAAACACAUAUGGUAUAUAGGGGGCAAGAACGAGCCGGAGCCGGAGCAGCCCAUUCCCCGUAAGGUCCAGAUCCGCUCGCUGCCCAGCCUGGAGGACAUCGACCCCGACGUGCUGGACAGCAUGCAUUCCCUGGGCUGCUUCCGAGACCGCAACAAGCUGCUGCAGGACCUGCUGUCGGAGGAGGAGAACCAGGAGAAGAUGAUUUACUUCCUCCUCCUGGACCGGAAAGAACGGUACCCGAGCCAGGAGGAUGAGGACCUGCCCCCCAGGAAUGAGAUAGACCCUCCCCGGAAGCGUGUGGACUCCCCGAUGCUGAACCGGCAUGGCAAGCGGCGGCCGGAGCGCAAGUCCAUGGAGGUGCUCAGUGUGACGGACGGCGGUUCCCCGGUACCUGCGCGGCGUGCCAUUGAGAUGGCCCAGCACGGCCAGAGGUCUCGGUCCAUCAGCGGUGCCUCCUCAGGCCUUUCCACCAGCCCACUCAGCAGCCCCCGGGUGACCCCUCACCCCUCACCGAGGGGCAGUCCCCUCCCCACCCCCAAGGGGACACCUGUCCACACGCCAAAGGAGAGCCCGGCUGGCACGCCAAACCCUACGCCACCGUCCAGCCCCAGCGUCGGAGGGGUGCCAUGGAGGGCGAGGCUCAAUUCCAUCAAGAAUAGCUUCUUGGGCUCACCUCGCUUCCACCGCCGGAAACUGCAAGUUCCGACGCCGGAGGAGAUGUCCAACCUGACCCCAGAGUCAUCCCCAGAGCUGGCCAAGAAGUCCUGGUUUGGGAACUUCAUCAGCCUGGAGAAGGAGGAGCAGGUCUUCGUGGUCAUCAAAGACAAGCCUCUGAGCUCCAUCAAGGCUGACAUCGUGCACGCCUUCCUGUCGAUCCCCAGCCUCAGCCACAGCGUCAUCUCCCAGACGAGCUUCCGGGCCGAGUACAAGGCCACAGGGGGGCCGGCCGUGUUCCAGAAGCCGGUCAAGUUCCAGGUGGAUAUCACCUACACGGAGGGCGGGGAGGCGCAGAAGGAGAACGGCAUCUACUCCGUCACCUUCACCCUGCUUUCAGGCCCCAGCCGCCGCUUCAAGAGGGUGGUGGAGACCAUCCAGACCCAGCUGCUGAGCACACAUGACCCACCCUCGGCCCAGCACUUGUCAGAACCCCCCCCGCCAGCGCCAGGACUAAGCUGGGGUGCUGGGCUUAAGGGCCAGAAGGUGGCCACCAGCUACGAGAGUAGCCUCUGACGCUGGCAGACACCACUAACUGUAUGGAAAUGAUGACGGGGCGGCUUUCCAAAUGUGACGAGAAGAACGGGCAGGCGGCCCAGGCCCCCAGCACGCCCGCCAAGCGGAGUGCCCACGGCCCACUCGGUGACUCCGCGGCCGCUGGCCCUGGCCCCGGAGGGGACGCCGAGUACCCAACGGGCAAGGACACGGCCAAGACGGGCCCGCCCGCCGCCCGCCGCGAGCAGCCUUAGCCACACUAGCCCCCCCCCCAGCACAGCACUGACGGCGGCUGCCCCGCCGCCCGCCGCCCGCCCCGCCCCGCGUGGACCCGUGGCCGCCCGCCCGCCCGUCCAGACUGUUCUCAGAGCCUGGGAGGAAAGGAAAGGGGCGCCGGGGCCGGCCUGCGGGCUCUGCCACCCACGCCCGCUCUCUUUUCUCUCUCCUGUCUCUGUCUCUGCCUGUCUCUGACGGCGUCACUGUUUCCACUCUGAUACCAGGAAUUAUCCCGAAAAGUUAACAUGCCACCUCCACGAGGCCAUCCUCUGUGACCGAAGGCAGCUGCUGCGGACCCGCCCUCCCUCUGCUCCUGCUGUUGCUGCUGGGCAGCCAGGCCCAGCCCAGCGCCCCGUCCACCCCGAGGCAGCUCCUCGCCUCAGCUCCGCACGGCCCGUGGCAGGAGGGCCAGGCUCAGGGGAGCCGCCUCCAGCCCGGCCAGCCCGGACUCCUGGUCACCCGGUCACCUGACCCCUCAGCAAGAACAGCCUGCCUGGAGGCCUUCUGGGGCCGGGACGCCCCGGCGGGCAAAGUAGCCGCAGGAACAGACCCUGCCCGCCGCCUCGCGCCUCCCUGGCCGCGCCGCCUCCUGUAGUCUUGGC